UACGGAGGGUGCAAGCGUUGUUCGGAAUCACUGGGCGUAAAGCGCGCGCAGGCGGGACGAGCAAGUCAGAAGUGAAAUCCCGGGGCUCAACUCCGGGGCUGCUUCUGAUACUGCCGACCUGGAGACCGGUAGAGGUGGGUGGAAUUCCCGGUGUAGCGGUGGAAUGCGUAGAGAUCGGGAAGAACACCUGUGGCGAAGGCGGCCCACUGGGCCGGAUCUGACGCUGAGGCGCGAAAGCGUGGGGAGCAAACAGG
rnacentral:misc_RNA from 1 species